UACGUAGGGGGCAAGCGUUGUCCGGAAUCAUUGGGCGUAAAGCGCGUGUAGGCGGGUCGGUAAGUCCGCUCUGAAAGCCCGGGGCUCAACCCCGGGAGGCGGGUGGAUACUGUCGACCUCGAGUCCGGAAGAGGCGAGUGGAAUUCCUGGUGUAGCGGUGAAAUGCGCAGAUAUCAGGAGGAACACCAAUGGCGAAGGCAGCUCGCUGGGACGGUACUGACGCUGAGACGCGAAAGCGUGGGGGAGCAAACAGG
rnacentral:rRNA from 1 species